rnacentral:lncRNA from 1 species
UUAGUUUACACACUAAAACUAUUAUAAGGUAGACGUCCUUAGUGUCUCUCGACAAGAACUAUUUGCACAAAGAACAAAAGUACUUAUUCUAAUAUUAUAAGGUUUGGGUUGAUGGUUGAUUAUUACCAUUCUCCCAACUCGAGUGUAGUUCGAGAUAAUUACAUUUUUCUAUCCUGUUAAGACUAAUUCAAAAAUAUUGUUUAAGGAUAAAAGUAUGGUAAAACUGAAAAAAUAUUACUGAAUAUCAAACUUUAUCAAAAUAUU